rnacentral:rRNA from 1 species
GACAGAGGUCCCGAGCGUUAGGCGGAAUCACUGGGCUUAAAGCGUGUGUAGGCGGAUCGUUAAGUACCUUGUGAAAUCCCACGGCUUAACCGUGGAACUGCUUGGUAUACUGGCGAUCUUGAGCCACUUAGGGGCUACCGGAACAAAUGGUGGAGCGGUGAAAUGCGUAGAUAUCAGGAGGAACACCAAUAGCGAAGGCAGCUCGCUGGGACGUGACUGACACUAAGGCGCGAAAGCGUGGGGAGCGAACAGG